GCGCCGUUGGUGUAAGGCGAACAUCGCUGCCCGGAAAGCAAAAGAGGCGGGCUCGAGUCCCGCCUGGCGCA
rnacentral:tRNA from 1 species